GAAAUGCGAUAAGUAAUGUGAAUUGCAGAAUUCAGUGAAUCAUCGAAUCUUUGAACGCACCUUGCGCUCCUUGGUAUUCCGAGGAGCAUGCCUGUUUGAGUGUCAUUAAAUUCUCAACCUCACCAACUUUGUGAUGAAGCUGUGUGUAGGCUUGGAUUUGGAGGCGUGCAGGUCCACAUUUAGUGGUCUGCUCCUCUGAAAUGUAUUAGUGGGUUAGGCUCCCCUAAACUAUUGGUGUGAUAAUUAUCUACGCCUUGGAUUUGGGAUGGCUACAUUUAGACCCGCUUCUAACUGUCCUCAUGGGACAACAUUUGACAAUUUUGACCUCAAAUCAGGUAAGACUACCCGCUGAACUUAA
rnacentral:misc_RNA from 1 species